AUACGGAGGGUCCAAGCGUUAUCCGGAAUCAUUGGGUUUAAAGGGUCCGCAGGCGGUCAAUUAAGUCAGAGGUGAAAGCCCAUCGCUCAACGAUGGAACUGCCUUUGAUACUGGUUGACUUGAGUUAUACGGAAGUAGAUAGAAUAUGUAGUGUAGCGGUGAAAUGCAUAGAUAUUACUUAGAAUACCGAUUGCGAAGGCAGUCUACUACGUAUAUACUGACGCUGAGGGACGAAAGCGUGGGGAGCGAACAGGAUGAGAAACCCUGGUAGUCC
rnacentral:rRNA from 1 species